GACGAACGCUGGCGGCGUGCUUAACACAUGCAAGUCGAGCGGGUAAGGCCCUUUCGGGGGUACACGAGCGGCGGACGGGUGAGUAACACGUGGGUAACCUGCCCGGAAGUGGGGAAUACCUCGGGGAAACUCGAGCUAAUACCGCAUGACAUCUUUGGGACGAAAGUCCCGACGAUCAAAGCGGGGUCGCAAGAUCUCGCGCUACCGGAUGGGCCCGCGCCCGAUUAGCUAGUUGGUGAGGUAACGGCNCACCAAGGCUUCGAUCGGUAACCGGCCUGAGAGGGCGAUCGGUCACACCGGAACUGAGACACGGUCCGGACUCCUACGGGAGGCAGCAGUGGGGAAUCUUGCGC
rnacentral:rRNA from 1 species